UGUUUGCAUAAUUUGAAUCACACGAAACUUCUGAAAAACUUGGAUUUUGUUCUGAUUUGCCCAAGGUUGAAUCAUGUAUAAAGUGAAUUAAUUCAUAUAACAUUUGAAGCCCAAAAGAAUCUGUUGGCUUAUCUACAGAUAAAUGGAAUUAAUUAAACCGAACUCAGAACAGAUGUAGCAAUAAAUUGCCAGAUUAUGGUUCCAAGAUGGGCCAACAAAGAUGUAGAGAGCAAGAUAUGGAAAAAGAAAAAAGUUUCAAUUAACAAAGGUGAGUGAUUCCAAGAAAGCUAAAUCACAGAUUUCAGAAGAUGUUUUGAAAGAAAUACCUAAUUAACUCCUUUGGUGUGUUUCUGGUGAGAAAGCUCAGAAGAUGUAUCAGAGAGACACAGAAAAUCUAAAUAAUGGCAAGUUAAAAAAAUGUUUACAUUUUGAGGAGAAAAUACCUACUGCUGAACUGAAGGAGAUUGUUUUUCUUCUCCAUGGAAUUGCUUUGAUGAAGUCAUUCUGACAGUCAUUUUGACAUUUCCUUUGAAUCCAUCACAGUAUUAAUCUCCUGCUAUGAUCUUUCCUAACUGGAAGAGCAUCAUCACAAUCAAGGUCAUGCAGGACAUAAACAUUAAUAAGAUUUUUAAUGGAAACAGAAGAUGAGAAUGUGUUUCUACCAGAGUAAUGAUAAACAGCUGUUUCUUCUACUUUUGAAUUUUUGUUUUGUCUUUGUUUAGCCAAAGUUCAUUGAUUCUUGCUGUCUGUACCAAUUAAUCAAAAUAAGUGACUAACAAGUCUGUUCCAAUAAAAAUCCACUGUACAAAACAAA